GCAUGGUCUAAGUACAGAGACUCGCUAUUCUAAAACCGCGGAUGGCUCAUUAUAACAGCUAUGAUUUAAGAGAAAUAAACUUUGUUGCCACAAGAUAACUGUGGUAAUUCUAGAGCUAAUAUUUGUAAGAAUGCUGUGACUUUCGGGAAGCAGCGGAUUUAUUAGAUCAAAACUAACCUGGUUUCGGCCAGUUAAUUGAUGACUCUGGAUAACUUUACUGAUCGAACAACCUUGCGUUGACGACGAAUCUCUUGAAAUGGCUGACCUAUCAACUUUCGACGGUAAGAUCAAAGCUUACCGUGGUUGUAACGGGUAACGGGGAAUCAGUGUUCGAUUCCGGAGAGGGAGCCUGAGAAACGGCUACCACAUCCACGGAAGGCAGCAGGCGCGUAAAUUACCCAAUACCGGCUCGGUGAGGUAGUGACAAAAAAUAACAAUAUGGGCCCUAGUGGUUUCAUAAUUGCAAUGAGAUGAUUUUAAAUACUUUACCAAGUAUCAAUUGGAGGGCAAGUCUGGUGCCAGCAGCCGCGGUAAUUCCAGCUCCAAAAGCGUAUAUUAAAGUUGUUGCAGUUAAAAAGCUCGUAGUUGAAAUUCGGGAAUUGGGACUUGUUGAUGUCGUAUGACUGAAAUUAGUCCCAUCCUUUUAGUCGUGUAUAUUGUAGAGGCGCUUCACUGUGUUUUUGCAAUGACCGACAAGUUUACUUUGAAAAAAUUAGAGUGCUUAAAGCAGGCUUAUGCUUGCAUAUUGUUGCAUGGAAUAAUAAAAUAGGACUUCGGUUUAUUUUGUUGGUUUCGAAACUGAAGUAAUGAUUAAAAGAGACUGCCGGGGGCAUCUGUAUGCCGGUGUUAGAGGUGAAAUUCGGAGAUCAUCGGCAGACAAACUACUGCGAAAGCAUUUGCCAAGAAUGUUUUCAUUAAUCAAGAACGAAAGUCAGAGGAUCGAAGACGAUCAGAUACCGUCCUAGUUCUGACCAUAAACUAUGCCAACUGACAGUUAGCGGAGAUAUAUUAAUUUUUUCCCGCUAGAAGUCACCGGGAAACCAAAGUCUAUGGGUUCCGGGGGAAGUAUGGUUGCAAAGCUGAAACUUAAAGGAAUUGACGGAAGGGCACCACAAGGAGUGGAGCCUGCGGCUUAAUUUGACUCAACACGGGAAAUCUCACCCGGUCCGGACACUGUGAGGAUUGACAGAUUGAUAGCUCUUUCUUGAUUCGGUGGGUAGUGGUGCAUGGCCGUUCUUAGUUGGUGGAGCGAUUUGUCUGGUUAAUUCCGAUAACGAACGAGACUCGAGCCUGCUAAAUAGUCCAUCUGUGUUAAAAAGCAGAUGCUGACUUCUUAGAGGAAUUAAUGGCGUUUAGCCAAAUGAAAAUGAGCAAUAACAGGUCUGUGAUGCCCUUAGAUGUCCGGGGCCGCACGCGCGCUACAAUGUCAGUAACAACGAGUAUUAUUCCUUGCCGGAAACGGCUGGGUAAUCUGGUGAAUCACUGUCGUAUCAGGAAUAGUGGUUUGAAAUUUUUCCACUUGAACGAGGAAUUCCUAGUAAGCGCAAGUCACUAACUUGCGCUGAUUACGUCCCUGCCCUUUGUACACACCGCCCGUCGCUACUACCGAUUGAAUGGUUUAGUGAGAUUGUUGGAUCGUAGUCUAAGAAAUGCUUAAUUGCAUUUCUNUGAUCGUGAGAAGACACUCAAACCUUGAUCAUUAGAGGAAG
rnacentral:rRNA from 1 species